rnacentral:rRNA from 1 species
GAUGAACGCUGGCGGCGUGCCUAAUACAUGCAAGUCGAGCGAACAGACGAGGAUCUUGCUCCUCUGACGUUAGCGGCGGACGGGUGAGUAACACGUGGAUAACCUACCUAUAAGACUGGGAUAACUUCGGGAAACCGGAGCUAAUACCGGAUAAUAUAUUGAACCGCAUGGUUCAAUAGUGAAAUACGGUUUUGCUGUCACUUAUAGAUGGAUCCGCGCCGCAUUAGCUAGUUGGUAAGGUAACGGCUUACCAAGGCAACGAUGCGUAGCCGACCUGAGAGGGUGAUCGGCCACACUGGAACUGAGACACGGUCCAGACUCCUAAGGGAGGCAGCAGUAGGGAAUCUUCCGCAAUGGGCGAAAGCCUGACGGAGCAACGCCGAGUGAGUGAUGAAGGUCUUCGGAUCGUAAAACUCUGUUAUUAGGGAAGAACAAAUGUGUAAGUAACUAUGCACGUCUUGACGGUACCUAAUCAGAAAGCCACGGCUAACUACGUG